rnacentral:rRNA from 1 species
AAGCCGCAGAAAUCUGUGCUAAGGUAGCAUAAUCAUUUGUCUUUUAAUUAAAGACUAGAAUGAAAGGUCAAACGAAUAAAAACCUUAAAUAGUAUAAUAAACCAAAAUUAAAUUUUUUGUAAAAAUACAAAAAUAAACAAAAAAGACGACAAGACCCCAUCGAACUUAACUAGAGUUAUACUGGGGCAGUAUUAUAAUAAAAAUUUUAACCUAAAAAAACCAAAACUACCAUAUAAAGAAUAGAACAAGUUACCGUAGGGAUAACAGCGCAAUUUAUUUCCAAAGCUCUUAUAAAAAAAUAAGAUUACGACCUCGAUGUUGAAUUAAUUCACCUGACUAAUGCAAAAAUUAACAAGAAAGUCUGUUCGACUUUUAAAUAAUUACAUGAUCUG